CCGAAAAUGGUACCCCCUUUAAAGACCCAUUAAUUGUUGUGCUCCAUUGUAACCUGUAAAUUAUCAUGAGACUUCUCGGGUUAUCAGUUAAAAAUUUUUGUAUGUCAGGAAACUGAGCACAUGUCUCCAGGUUUUUGUGACCAAAAAAGUGCCAGCAGUCGCGGUUAUACUUUUACAUACACAAGGAAAAUAGAGACUCACAUGUACAUUCGCUUUUUAAGUGGUGAAAUGCUAAUAUGCGCAAUUUUCCUAUUACUUUCUAUAAAAACUCUACAAUAAACAGGGAUUAGAUACCCCUCUAUACAGUUCAAUCUUAUUUCUCUGGGAACUACAGUUGUUAAACCCAACCAACAUGGCGGUAACAAGUAAAUUUAGGGGAACUUACUAGAUAAAUGAUAACCACCAAGGUAAUUUCCGUUAAGUAAAAUUUUAUAUACCGUCGUCGUUGGCACACUAUUAUAGGGUGCCAAAGCCUAACAGUAAUACAAGACAGACCAUGGUGUAGACCACCUUAACGACUACGCGAGUUACAAUAAAAAUUUUCUUCUUUAAACAAUUCUAAUACUGUGAAAUGGAGGACUUAAAAGUAAAAUAUAUUAGGUUUAAUUUUUGAAUUUACAACUUGUUGUGC
rnacentral:rRNA from 1 species